rnacentral:sRNA from 1 species
GUGCCCUCUCGCGGGGCUCCAGGGACCCCUGACCGUCCGGGGCGAGUGAUCACUACACAACCCGACGCGCGGCCCAGAGCGGUGCCUGUAAGAAAGCUGAGCUAGAGAUUUUAUUUUGUCCUGUCUCCUGAGAUUAUCAGAUUGAAGUAGAGACCCAAAUAAUUCUCUGAUUACAGUAUUUCUUCUACUGCUAUGUAGAUAGAGAACAUAAAUAUUUGUAAGCAAAGGUCACUCAGCCAAAGGAGCUCAGAAGUAGAGUAUAUUAACAAAUACAGACAGCUCGAAGCACAAGAGCUUGAUGUGUGUCGCAGUGUCCAACCAGCCAGUGGGCCAGGUCCAAGGCCAUCUUUCGCUAAAUUAAGCAGUGUGACGUGCAUCCCAGGGACAACUUAUAAAUAUCCUGAUUUGCCUAUAAGUCGAUACAAGGAAGAGGUUGUGUCUUUGAUAGAAAGUAAUUCCGUGGUGAUUAUCCAUGGGGCCACGGGAAGCGGUAAAAGCACUCAGCUCCCGCAGUAUAUCUUGGACCACUACGUUCAGCGCUCCGCCUACUGCAGCAUUGUGGUCACCCAGCCCCGGAAGAU